CAUAAAUAUCUUUGAAAUUUCAGUACUGCGCAAUGACACUGUCCAUUUCACUUUUGUCAAAACCAACUACAAUUGUACUACUCAUUAAAAAUUUAAAGCGAGCUUGUCGUGUGAACGCUCUCACUGCGCCCACGGAGGGGGGGCGACGCCCCAAGUAGGCGGGACAUUGACAACGCAAGGUGAACUAAACUUUUCUCAUCCACACAGCAGAGGAUGUAUCUAAAGCAAAACAUGGCACAUAUCGACUAGCACAGAACUUAUUGGCUAAGCAUACUUAGCAUACGAUACGCAACGGACACCGUAGACGCUGAAAAACAUUCGAGCCGAUAAAUAAUCCGCACAGCGUCCACAAAGUCAUAAUGUGCAAACGCCAAGCUCUCCGCGUUUGGCUGACACCGGCCAGCUGCGGCGCUGCCACUCUGCUAGCUGAGCGAUUUACAAUUUAUUGUAUGUAAAAUG